rnacentral:ncRNA from 1 species
UAUUGACUGUACAGAGCCCUUGCCAAAUGACUCUUGACCCAUAAUAAUAGCUCGUCUGUGGUCUUGCAGUGCUCCAGCAACAAUCUCUGAAGCCGAAGCAGAACCUUUAUUCAUCAACACAAUAAUAGGGGCCCCAUUUAGGAUAUCUCCUGCUUCAGUUGGGAAGGAAACGUCAGAUUUCGAGACUCUACCUUCUGUGUAGACAACAAUGCCAUCGCUAUCAAUAAAUAAAUUGGCGACAUCAAUUGAAGAGUUUAGCAAGCCACCCGGGUUAUUUCU